rnacentral:rRNA from 1 species
GAUGAACGCUGGCGGCGUGCCUAAUACAUGCAAGUCGAGCGAACGGACGAGAAGCUUGCUUCUCUGAUGUUAGCGGCGGACGGGUGAGUAACACGUGGAUAACCUACCUAUAAGACUGGGAUAACUUCGGGAAACCGGAGCUAAUACCGGAUAAUAUUUUGAACCGCAUGGUUCAAAAGUGAAAGACGGUCUUUCUGUCACUUAUAGAUGGAUCCGCGCUGCAUUAGCUAGUUGGUAAGGUAACGGCUUACCAAGGCAACGAUGCAUAGCCGACCUGAGAGGGUGAUCGGCCACACUGGAACUGAGACACGGUCCAGACUCCUACGGGAGGCAGCAGUAGGGAAUCUUCCGCAAUGGGCGAAAGCAUGACGGAGCAACGCCGCGUGAGUGAUGAAGGUCUUCGGAUCGUAAAACUCUGUUAUUAGGGAAGAACAUAUGUGUAAGUAACUGUGCACAUCUUGACGGUACCUAAUCAGAAAGCCACGGCUAACUACGUG